AAGGACCCCGGGAGGGGAGUGAAAGAGAACCUGAAACCUUGUGCUUACAAGCACUCAAAGCCCGUUAAAGGGUGAUGAGGUACCUUUUGUAGAAUGGUCCGGCGAGUUAUUGUUACUGGCAAGCUUAAGGCAUUCAGUGCCGGAGGCGCAGGGAGACCGAGUCUGAAUAGGGCGUAUGAAGUCAGUGGCAAUAGACCCGAAACCGGGUGACCUAUCCAUGGGCAGGUUGAAGUGGGGGUAAAACCCCAUGGAGGACCGAACGCACGCCCGUUGCAAUGGUCGGCGAUGACCUGUGGAUAGCGGUGAAAUUCCAAUCGAACUCGGAGAUAGCUGGUUCUCCCCGAAAUAGCUUUAGGGCUAGCGUUGGCUUAGAUUACCGGAGGUAAAGCACUGAAUGGGCUAGGGGCCGAUAAGGUUACUGAACCCUAUCAAACUCUGAAUGCCGGAUAAUUGAUGGCCAGCAGUCAGUCUACGUGAGAUAAGUCUCGUGGACAAAAGGGAAACAGCCCAGACCCACAGCUAAGGUCCCAAAGAUACGCUAAGUGGAAAACGAUGUGGAGUUGCGAAAACAACCAGGAUGUUGGCUUAGAAGCAGCCACUCAUUAAAAGAGUGCGUAAUAGCUCACUGGUCGAGUGACUCUGCGCGGAAAAUAUAACGGGGCUAAGCGUAACACCGAAGCUUGGGCUGCACAGCAAUGUGCGGGGUAGGGGAGCGUCGAAUAUGGGGUGAAGUCGCAGCGGAAGCAGCGGUGGACUGUAUUCGAGUGAGAAUGCCGGAAUGAGUAGCGAGAAUUAUGUGGGAAUCAUAAUGGCCGAAAAUCUAAGGUUUCCUGGGGAAGGUUCGUCCGCCCAGGGUAAGCCGGGAGCUAAGGCGAGGCCGGAAGGCGUAGUCGAUGCACAUACGGUUGAAAUUCCGUAGCCACCGAACCUUAAGUACACUGACACAUGGAGAUAGCGGGACCCGGGCGUUGGUUGACCCGGGCGUAAGGGACCGAACUUUAGUAGGGAAGUCCGCGAUGCUCUGUGGCGAGAAAAGGUGUAUGGUAUGCUAAGGUGCCCGUACCGCAAACCGACACAGGUAGAUGAGGAGAGAAUCCUAAGGCCAACGGGAGAAGGGUUGUUAAGGAACUCGGCAAAAUGACCCCGUAACUUCGGGAUAAGGGGAGCCUCCUACGGGAGGCCGCAGCGAAUAGGCCCAAGCGACUGUUUACCAAAAACACAGGUCUCUGCUAAAUCGAAAGAUGACGUAUAGGGGCUGACGCCUGCCCGGUGCUGGAAGGUUAAGAGGAGAUGUUAGCCGCAAGGCGAAGCAUUGAAUCGAAGCCCCAGUAAACGGCGGCCGUAACUAUAACGGUCCUAAGGUAGCGAAAUUCCUUGUCAGGUAAGUUCUGACCCGCACGAAUGGCGUAACGACUUGGGCGCUGUCUCAACAGCCCACCCGGCGAAAUUGUUGUACUGGUGAAGAAGCCAGUUACCCGCAACUAGACGGAAAGACCCCAUGGAGCUUUACUGUAGCUUAAUACUGGAAAUCGGUAAAUCAUGUACAGGAUAGGUGGGAGACUUGGAAGCCAGGGCGUCAGCUUUGGUGGAGUCACCCUUGGGAUACCACCCUUGAUUUGCUGGUUUUCUAACCUGCGGCCGUGAAUCCGGUCGGGGGACACUGUUAGGUGGGCAGUUUGACUGGGGCGGUCGCCUCCUAAAAGGUAACGGAGGCGCUCAAAGGUUCGUUCAGCACGGACGGAAACCGUGCAGUGAGUGUAAACGCAUAAACGAGCCUAACUGCGAGACCGACGGGUCGAGCAGUAACGAAAGUUGGAGUUAGUGAUCCGGCGGUAUGCAAGUGGAAGUGCCGUCGCUCAACGGAUAAAAGCUACCCUGGGGAUAACAGGCUGAUCUCCCCCAAGAGUCCACAUCGACGGGGAGGUUUGGCACCUCGAUGUCGGCUCAUCACAUCCUGGGGCUGUAUUCGGUCCCAAGGGUUCGGCUGUUCGCCGAUUAAAGUGGCACGCGAGCUGGGUUCAGAACGUCGUGAGACAGUUCGGUCCCUAUCUGUUGCGGGCGUAAGAGAUUUGAAGGGAGCUGUCCUUAGUACGAGAGGACCGGGAUGGACGUACCUCUGGUGCACCAGUUGUCCUGCCAAGGGCAUAGCUGGGUAGCUAUGUACGGACGAGAUAAACGCUGAAGGCAUCUAAGCGUGAAACUCCCCCUAAGAUUAGAUCUCUCAUUCGAAAGAAGUAAGGCACGACGUAGACUAUGUCGUUGA
rnacentral:rRNA from 1 species